rnacentral:rRNA from 1 species
GACGAACGCUGGCGGCGUGCCUAACACAUGCAAGUCGAACGGAAGGGCCCUGAUUUUGCGGGGUGCACGAGAGGCGAAGGGGGGAGUAUAACGCGAGUAAACUGCCCCUGUAUUUGGGAUAACAUCAGGAAACAGGGGCGAAUACACGAUAGGAGAUCUUGCAGCAUGGUGGGGGAUGGAAAGAUUCGGCGGUUCUGGAUGGACUGGCGGCUUAUGAGCUUGUUGGGGGGGUAGUGAAUUACCAAGGGUACGACGGGUAGGCGGCAUUAGAGGGUGACCAGCCACAUUGGGACUGAGGUACGGACCAGACUCGUACGGGAGGCAGCAGUGGGGAACAUUGCGCAGUGGGCGGGAGCCUGAGACAGAGACGCUGCGUGCGGAAUGACGUCUUUCGAGUGGUAAACCGCUUUGGCCUGUGACGAAGAGUGAGUGACGGUACCGGAUAAAGAAGCACCGGCUAACUACGUG